rnacentral:sRNA from 1 species
UAUUAGCCCAGAUUGUAAUGGAAAUCCUUUUUUGAAAAAAAAGAUUGCAAUGGAAAGCUGGAAAUAGC